GGCGUGGCAGAUGAUUACCGAAGAAAACACAUUAUAGGGUAGAGUCAUGAAAGGAGAAUGGAAAGCAGCAGGCUAUAUACCGGCAGUAACUCAGGAUGCUGAAAAGGCCUAGGAACAAGAUGCUUUGGAGGGGAUCAAAUGGGCAGUUGCAAAUCAGGUUGUCAACCUUCAUCUGGAAGGAGAUUGUCUUAAAGUGGUGAAUGCAAUCAAUGAAAAGCAAGGAGCAAUAAAGUGGACAACAAAUAGUCUAAUCUAUGACUGUUUAGAACUUCUUAAGUUUUUUAAUAAAUGGGAAUGUUGUUAUGUCCCGAGAGAAACAAACGAGGUA